UUUUGUGAACGCCCUUAAGUCAGAAUCCGUGCUAGAAACGACGAUGUUGGUCCCGCACAUUUUAGUUGUGUCAAAAUAGAGCUUUGCUCGUGAACCAAAUUAGGUGGGCUGGACGGACUUGGCGGAAAUGCUUUGUUCGUUUGCCUGCGAAUCGAAAUCAUCAUAUGCGCGGGGGUGAAUCCUUUGCAGACGACUUGAAUGGGAACGGGGUACUGUAAGCAGUAGAGUAGCCUUGUUGCUACGAUCUGCUGAGGUUAAGCCCUUGUUCUAAAGAUUUGUUCAACCACCGGUUGGACUCUUCUCUUUUCUUUCACGUCCUGAGACCUUAGGGCAGGCGCACAGUUGGACUUGUGCGAUCCCGGGGCACGGCGUGUAAGAGAACGAGAGAGAUCAGUCAGUUACUUGACUGGUCAGCAUUGAUACMUMA
rnacentral:rRNA from 1 species